rnacentral:rRNA from 1 species
GAAUCUUAGACAAUGGGGGCAACCCUGAUCCAGCAAUGCCGCGUGAGUGAUGAAGGCCUUCGGGUUGUAAAGCUCUUUUGGCGGGGACGAUGAUGACGGUACCCGCAGAAUAAGCCCCGGCUAACUUCGUGCCAGCAGCCGCGGUAAUACGAAGGGGGCUAGCGUUGUUCGGAAUUACUGGGCGUAAAGGGCGCGUAGGCGGUUCCAAUCGUCGGAUGUGAAAGGCCUGGGCUCAACCUGGGAACGGCAUUCGAUACGGUGGGACUCGAGUGUGGGAGAGGAUGGUGGAAUUCCCAGUGUAGAGGUGAAAUUCGUAGAUAUUGGGAAGAACACCGGUGGCGAAGGCGGCCAUCUGGACCACAACUGACGCUGAGGCGCGAAAGCGUGGGGAGCAAACAG